rnacentral:miRNA from 1 species
AGUCGAGUCGUCAUGAUA